AAACUUUCAACAACGGAUCUCUUGGUUCUGGCAUCGAUGAAGAACGCAGCGAAAUGCGAUAAGUAAUGUGAAUUGCAGACUUCAGUGAAUCAUCGAAUCUUUGAACGCACAUUGCGCCCGCCAGCAUUCUGGCGGGCAUGCCUGUCCGAGCGUCAUUU
rnacentral:rRNA from 8 species